rnacentral:lncRNA from 10 species
CUUUUCUUCCUUGUCUAGUGAAGGGGCGCUGCCCUUCCUUAGUGUCUGGGUUCCCGAGAGGUGUCUUAUGUGAAACUCUGCAUCCCUCAGGCUCUCCCUUGCCUGAGUCGAGUCUAGAAAGCUGGGUCACAAAACAUUUCUUGUAAAAAUCUCCUACCCUCCUCCUGUAUUCAUCACCUGAGAUACAGAGCAUCAUGCUUCAUCUCUAGGACCUAAGAUUGGCCACACUGGACCAGACCCAUAGACCAGUUAAGCCAGCAGCUUGUUUGGAUUACAGACAACUCUGCCUUCCUCAAGAUGCAGAAACUGCAGUUCAGAGUGGCUAAACAAUUUGCCUCAAAUCCCACUACUAGUAGUGGAGGAGAAAGAAUUGGAAUUCAGGUUUAUCCACACCCUUUGCUCUCUCUAGUCUUCCAGGCUGUCUCUCCAGAGUCUAUCUUUUCAGCUCUACCCAAGGCUGGAGACCACCUGCCCCAAAUGAAUGAGACCCUUCUAGGACCACUGCAAGCGCAAGGCAUAGGAUAGCUUCCCCUCUAGCAUCAAGUUGAAACGGCCGUGUUCAGCUUUCCCACACCCUCACGUUUCCAACAUGCACAUCUCCUACGUCACCCCAGAGCUCCACAUUGCCUCCCCACCAUCAAGGCCACGUCCAUAUCCGUCCAUGUCCUGGCCCUCCUUCAAGCCAGAUGGAAGUGUCUUUCAAGGCCCUCGCCAGGUCCUGACCCACCCUCCUUAAUCUCCCACUCC